rnacentral:rRNA from 1 species
AUUGAACGCUGGCGGCAGGCCUAACACAUGCAAGUCGAGCGAGCGGCGGACGGGUGAGUAAUGUAUGGGGAUCUGCCUGAUGGAGGGGGAUAACUACUGGAAACGGUAGCUAAUACCGCAUACCAACAGAUGAACCCAUAUGGGAUUAGAUUGGAGGGGGGGUAACGGCUCACCUAGGCGACGCUCCCUAGCGGGUUUUAGAGGAUGAUCAGCCACACUGGGACUGAGCCAGGGCCAAGACUCCUACGGGAGGCAGCAGUGGGGAAUAUUGCACAAGGGGCGCAAGCCUGAUGCAGCCAGGCCGCGUGUAUGAAGAAGGCCUUCUGGUUGUAAAGUACUUUCAGUCGGGAGGCGUUACCCGCAGAAGAAGCACCGGCUAACUCCGUGCCAGCAGCCGCGGUAAUAC